rnacentral:rRNA from 1 species
AUUGAACGCUGGCGGCAGGCCUAAUACAUGCAAGUCGAGCGAGAGGCGGAGGGGUGAGGAAUGUAUGGGGACUGCCCGUUAGAGGGGGAUAACUCCUGGAAAAGGUAGCUAAUACCGCAUACUAUCGGAUAACCCAUAUGGGAUUAGCUAGUAGGUGAGGUCAUGGCUCACCAAGGCGACGAUCUCUAGCUGGUCUGAGAGUAUGAUCAGCCACACUGUGACUGAGACACGGCCCAGACUCCUACGGAGGCAGCAGUGGGGAAUAUUGCACAAUGGGCGAAAGCCUGAUGCAGCCAUGCCGCGUGUAUGAAGAAGGCCCUCGGGUUGUAAAGUACUUUCAGUCGGGAGGCGUUACCGACAGAAAAAGCACCGGCUAACUCCGUGCCAGCAGCCGCGGUAAUUC